CGUGUAGGAGGCGCUACAAGUUGGAUGUGAAAGCUCCCGGCUUAACUGGGAGAGGUCGUUCAAGACUGUAGAGCUAGAGUGAGGCAGAGGUAGAUGGAACUCCGGGAGUAGUGGUGAAAUGCGUAGAUAUCCGGAAGAACACCAGAGGCGAAAGCGAUCUACUGGACCUAAACUGACACUGAGACGCGAAAGCCAGGGUAGCAAACGG
rnacentral:rRNA from 1 species